GUGUCAGCCGCCGCGGUAAUACGUAGGCAGCGAGCGUUGUUCGGAGUUACUGGGCGUAAAGCGUGCGUAGGCGGUGGUCCAAGUCUGGUGUGAAAUCUCCCGGCUCAACUGGGAGGGUGCGCCGGAAACUGGGCCGCUGGAGUGCGGGAGAGGCAAGCGGAAUUCCAGGUGUAGCGGUGAAAUGCGUAGAUAUCUGGAGGAACACCCGUGGUGCAGACGGCUUGCUGGACCGUGACUGACGCUGAGGCACGAAAGCGUGGGUAGCAAACAGGAUUAGAAACCCCGGUAGUCC
rnacentral:rRNA from 1 species